UGGGGAAUAUUGGACAAUGGGCGCAAGCCUGAUCCAGCCAUGCCGCGUGAGUGACGAAGGUCUUCGGAUUGUAAAGCUCUUUUUACCAGGGACGAUAAUGACGGUACCUGGAGAAUAAGCCCCGGCUAACUUCGUGCCAGCAGCCGCGGUAAUACGAAGGGGGCUAGCGUUGUUCGGAAUUACUGGGCGUAAAGCGCACGUAGGCGGAUUGUUAAGUCAGAGGUGAAAUCCCGGAGCUCAACUUCGGAACUGCCUUUGAUACUGGCAAUCUCGAGUCCGGAAGAGGUUAGUGGAAUUCCCAGUGUAGAGGUGAAAUUCGUAGAUAUUGGGAAGAACACCAGUGGCGAAGGCGGCUAACUGGUCCGGUACUGACGCUGAGGUGCGAAAGCGUGGGGAGCAAACAGGAUUAGAUACCCACGUAGUCCCUGAGCGGGCUGGCAAGGCGCAU
rnacentral:rRNA from 1 species